rnacentral:rRNA from 1 species
GUCCACGCCGUAAACGAUGGGCACUAGGUGUGGGAGGUGUCGACUCCUCCCGUGCCGGAGCUAACGCAUUAAGUGCCCCGCCUGGGGAGUACGGCCGCAAGGCUAAAACUCAAAGGAAUUGACGGGGACCCGCACAAGCAGCGGAGCAUGUGGUUUAAUUCGACGAAACGCGAAGAACCUUACCUGGGUUUGACAUGUGCCUGACCGCCGUGGAAACACGGCUUCCUCUUUGAGGCAGGUUCACAGGUGGUGCAUGGCUGUCGU